rnacentral:tmRNA from 1 species
GGGGGCGACCGGUUUUGACAGCUUGCAGAGUCGGUUCGUAAGCACGUCGAGCUUUGUGUGGGGUCUCGUAAAUCGCAACACUCAAACUACAAAUGGCAAUAAUAGCUAUGCACUCGCUGCCUAAUUUUCGAGGAAAAUUAGCUUAAUCCGCGGGCCCAAGGAGGUCUGCAGACGAGUAUCCCGAGCUGUGGCUCCGCCCUUUGGUCACGGUUCAUAUGGGGUAUCAUCUUUAUAGGGAUAGCGUGGUAUGUGUCUCGGUUAUUACGCGAAAAUUUAGAGGCUGCGGCAAAAGGUUAGGCUGUCUGUGGCCAUCCUGCGCAAGAGGAUUAAUCGCAGAAUAAACGUGUAGAAAGCCUUCGGGCUCCAGGUUUGGACGCGGGUUCGACUCCCGCCGCCUCCACUU